GUUGAUUGGAUUUCAACUUCAUAAAAAACUACCUUGACCAAAAACUUUAACCUGAAAUUUGCACUAUCAUUUUCUAUGUUCAGUAAACCGUGAAAUUGGGGUCAAAAAUCUAAUUUGGAAUUAAAAUUAGAAAGAUCAUAUCAUAGGGCACAUGUGUACUACGUUUCUAGUUGAUUGGACUUCAACGUCAUCAAAAACUACCUUGACCAAAAAACUUUAACCUGAAGCGGAACAGACGGACGAACGGACGGACGGAAGAACGAACGGACGAACGGACGCACAUAUCAGAAAACAUAAUGCCCCUCUACUAUCGUAGGUGGGGCAUAAAAAAACUCCGCAAUUAGUUGAAAUGAAGUAGUAUAAAUUUAAUACUGCAUCAUUUGAGACCUAACUACAUGUAACUUACUAACUCUUGUUGCAACAUGUAUAAUUAAGUAUGUGCAAACAAUCCGUAAUACGUUUGCUUUUUUUCUCGGAUAAAGAUACAUUUUGAUUGUGUUCUAAUCCAAAAUUACAGGAAUGCGAUAAAAAAUUUACAAUAACCAGUAGAACUAUAAAAAUACAAAAACACACAAUCAUGUAUUCACACGUCGUCUUAAUAUUAAAAUAUAUAAAAGACAAUAUUUUAACAUUAUUAAUUUUUGAAUUAUCUGGUCUCAAUCUUAAGAGAUGUACCAUAAAGUUGAUAAAACGCAUCAUUUAAAAAGUAUUUCUAGUUUUUAAAUUUGUACAUGACACAAGAAUUUAAAAAUCUAAAUGUUUCAUCAUGAGGGUAUGGAUUGGGUUUACAUAAUAGAUUGAUUGAUAGCUGUUUGCUUAACACCCAGUGGCAAAUAUUACAUACAUAUUCAGAAUAGAAUGGAAAAUAGUGUGCCAAAAGUGCAGAAUAAAGACCAAAAAUUUAUAUAGAAUAGAAAAGGGCAAAAAAAGGAACAGAAAAAAAUGGGGUGCUAAAAUAUAAAAUAGAGAAUAUUGGUAAAAAAAAUAUAAAAAAAUAAAGAUAAAUAAUCUAAAAGAUUAAAAAACAAAAUAUAAUUGAAGGACCAUCUACCUAAAAAAAAAUCAAGAACCUACUCUUUUUGUCAUUGUUAUAAAAAAAGGAAACAGUUGCAUUAAAUUCAUAUAGUAAUAGUUUUCUAAUUAGUUUUGUAUACAAAAGAGUGAAAUGACAUUUGUCUUAUAUUGAUGGCAACA
rnacentral:lncRNA from 1 species